GCCGGAAUGAGUAGCGAGAGUAAGGUGAGAAUCCUUACGGCCGAAUAUCCAAGGUUUCCAGGGUAAAGCUGAUCUGCCCUGGGGAAGUCGGGACCUAAGGCGAGGCCGAGAGGCGUAGCCGAUGGACAACAGGUUGAGAUUCCUGUACUACAGUAUGACAGAACUGUGGGGACGCAGAAGGAGAGCACUACCUGGAAUGGAAUCCAGGGGCAAGCACAGGAGGGGUACGGCUGGAAAAACCGCCGUGCAACCCAAAGGUGUGACGCAUACCGAACUAAAGUAGGGAAAUGUGUGAGCCGGCUGCCGAGAAAAGCCGCUAUCGUUUGUACUGUACCCGUACCGUAAACCGACACAGGUGGAUGAGGAGAGAAUCCUAAGGCCGACGGAAGAAGCAUUGCUAAGGAACUCGGCAAAAUGACCCUGUAACUUCGGGAGAAAGGGUGCCUCGAAAGAGGCCGCAGAGAAUAGGCCCAAGCUACUGUUUAGCAAAAACACAGGUCUAUGCAAAACCGCAAGGUGAAGUAUAUGGGCUGACGCCUGCCCGGUGCUGGAGGGUUAAGGGGAGAUGUCAGGAGACGAAGCAUCGAACUUAAGCCCCAGUAAACGGCGGCCGUAACAAUAACGGUCCUAAGGUAGCGAAAUUCCUUGUCGGGUAAGUUCCGACCCGCACGAAAGGCGUAAUGAUUUGGGCGCUGUCUCGGCAAUGCAUCCGGUGAAAUUGAAGUGCCAGUGAAGAUGCUGGCUACCCGCGCCAGGACGGAAAGACCCCAUGGAGCUUUACUCCAGCUUGAUACUGGGAUUCGGUAUUGUAUGUACAGGAUAGGUGGGAGGCUGAGAAAUGGUGACGCCAGUCGCCAUGGAGCCGCUGUUGGGAUACCACCCUUGCAGUACUGGAUUUCUAACCAGCAGCCGUGAUCCGGCUGGGGGACAAUGUCAGGUGGGGAGUUUGACUGGGGCGGUCGCCUCCGAAAGGGUAUCGGAGGCGCUCAAAGGUUCCCUCAGAAUGGUCGGAAACCAUUCGAAGAGUGCAAAGGCAGAAGGGAGCUUGACUGCGACACCGACGGGUGGGGCAAGUACGAAAGUAGGACUUAGUGAUCCGGUGGUAUUAAGUGGGAAUGCCAUCGCUCAACGGAUAAAAGCUACCCUGGGAUAACAGGCUUAUCACUCCCAAGAGUUCACAUCGACGGAGUGGUUUGGCACCUUGAUGUCGGCUCAUCGCAUCCUGGGGCUGUAGUAGGUCCCAAGGGUUGGGCUGUUCGCCCAUUAAAGCGGUACGCGAGCUGGGUUCAGAACGUCGUGAGACAGUUCGGUCCCUAUCCGGCGUGGGCGUAGGAUAUUUGAGAGGAGCUGACCUUAGUACGAGAGGACCGGGUUGGACUGACCUCUGGUGCACCGGUUGUCAUGCCAAUGGCACAGCCGGGUAGCCAAGUCGGGAAGGGAUAAACGCUGAAGGCAUCUAAGCGUGAAGCCCCCCUCAAGAUGAGAUAUCCCCCGCAUAAGCGGUAAGACCCCUUGAAGACGACGAGGUAGAUAGGGCAGAGGUGGAAGUGCAGUAAUGUAUGGAGCUGACUGCUACUAAUAGGUCGAAGGCUUAACC
rnacentral:rRNA from 1 species